rnacentral:rRNA from 1 species
GUGGGGAAUAUUGGACAAUGGGCGAAAGCCUGAUCCAGCCAUGCGGCGUGAGUGAUGAAGGCCUUAGGGUUGUAAAGCUCUUUCAGUAGGGAAGAUAAUGACGGUACCUACAGAAGAAGCCCCGGCUAACUUCGUGCCAGCAGCCGCGGUAAUACGAGGGGGGCUAGCGUUGUUCGGAUUUACUGGGCGUAAAGCGCAAGUAGGCGUAUUGGUCAGUUAGAGGUGAAAUCCUGGAGCUCAACUCCAGAACUGCCUUUAAUACUGCCAGUCGAGAGUCCAGAAGAGGUGAGUGGAACUCCUAGGGUAGAGGUGGAAUUCGUAGAUAUUAGGAAGAACACCAGUGGCGAAGGCGGCUCACUGGUCUGGUACUGACGCUGAGGUGCGAAAGCGUGGGGAGCAAACAGGAUUAGAUACCCGAGUAGUCC